UACGUGGGGGGCAAGCGUUGUUCGGAAUUACUGGGCGUAAAGGGCUCGUAGGCGGCCAACUAAGUCCGACGUGAAAUCCCCAGGCUUAACCUGGGAACUGCGUCGGAUACUGGAUGGCUUGAAUCCGGGAGAGGGAUGCGGAGUUCCAGGUGUAGCGGUGAAAUGCGUAGAUAUCUGGAGGAACACCGGUGGCGAAGGCGGCAUCCUGGACCGGCAUUGACGCUGAGGAGCGAAAGCCAGGGGAGCAAACGGG
rnacentral:rRNA from 1 species